rnacentral:rRNA from 1 species
GGCCGCGGGAAUUCGAUUCAGGCCUAACACAUGCAAGUCGAACGCGUUGGCCCAAUUGAUUGAUGGUGCUUGCACCUGAUUGAUUUUGGUCGCCAACGAGUGGCGGACGGGUGAGUAACGCGUAGGUAACCUGCCCAGAAGCGGGGGACAACAUUUGGAAACAGAUGCUAAUACCGCAUAAUAACGUUGUUCGCAUGAACAACGCUUAAAAGAUGGCUUCUCGCUAUCACCUCUGGAUGGACCUGCGGUGCAUUAGCUUGUUGGUGGGGUAACGGCCUACCAAGGCGAUGAUGCAUAGCCGAGUUGAGAGACUGAUCGGCCACAAUGGGACUGAGACACGGCCCAUACUCCUACGGGAGGCAGCAGUAGGGAAUCUUCCACAAUGGGCGCAAGCCUGAUGGAAAAGGACCGCGUGAGUGAAGAAGGGUUUCGGCUCGUAAAUCACGGGUGUAAAGAAGAACACGUAUGAGAGUAACUGUUCAUACGUUGACGGUAUAACCA